rnacentral:lncRNA from 1 species
GCAGAGAGGCUUGCAGGUCCAAACCACUGGUAGCAGCCCCUGGUAUAUCCAGGACAUCAGCACAUAGAACCAGUGAAAGGGUCCUCCCUCAUAGUGACGCAUGUCAUAGACUCAGAUUUAUACAAACAAAUGCUGAGCAAACCAUGAAGAGUCUCUGGUAUUUUCAACAAUAUCAUCACAGAGGAACUGUAUUGAUUUCCUUCCUUCAGUGGUCCAAGAACCUGCUGCUCCCGGGUCCUCUCAUUUGAAGACACCCACCGCCUAAGGAUGAAGAGAAGCUCCUUCUUGCAGAUCUGAGGCUGAUUUCCCAACUCCCAGGAACACCCUACCCACAGCCUGUUCCCCAGACCCAGGAAUUCUUGACCAAGACUACAAAUGUAGCCCAUUUGACAUCGAAAACAUUGGGACAGGUGUGAGAGUGAGGAAAAUGGGGAGAAAAAAGAACUUUGAAGACAAGGAUUUGAAGUUAGCAUGAAGCAUGGAAAGGAGGAAGGGCAAGCUUUCUGCAGUGAGGACAGUGCCUGCCAGAGAAAACCAGAUCCUGGGGAGGGGUUUCUCCAGAAAGAGAAAGUCAAAGCUGCAGAAUUUUCCAGCCGAACUAACAGUAAUUUCAGUGACAUUAAAUACUGUUACAGGAACUUUUCAAAUGUAGAGGAGCCUUUAGAAGGAAGCCUUGAGCAUGAGGACAGACCCCCCUCAUCCAACCACCACCUGACUCUGUGUGAACCUGGAACUGUUAGAAUGUCUGUGCUGUGAUAAAAGGUCAUCUCCCUACAAUGUUAUGAUACAGACCUCAAACCUACAAACAUGAGGAACUUCUGCCUCCAGGUUAACUGCUUACCCACUGUACAAGACACGUUACACACAGUCCAGGAGGCGGAGCUUCUGAGAUAUCUAGAAACAGCUUAGAGGCAAAAUGACAAAAUAAAGCAGCAACAACAAAUAAAA